UAAUUUUUUGGGCUUUUUUUG
rnacentral:piRNA from 1 species